rnacentral:pre_miRNA from 1 species
AUCUGCCUGGCUCCCUGAAUGCCAUCUGUUGAGCGUGUCAAGAGGUUUGACAUGCUUCUUAGUUGGCAUCAGGGGAGCCAUGCAGAU